rnacentral:rRNA from 1 species
AUACGGAGGGUGCAAGCGUUACUCGGAAUCACUGGGCGUAAAGGACGCGUAGGCGGGUUGGUAAGUCAGGUGUGAAAUCCUACAGCUUAACUGUAGAACUGCACUUGAAACUACCAACCUAGAGUAUGGGAGGGGGAGAUGGAAUUAGUGGUGUAGGGGUAAGAUCCGUAGAUAUCACUAGGAAUACCGAAAGCGAAGGCGAUCUCCUGGAACAUAACUGACGCUAAGGCGUGAAAGCGUGGGGAGCAAACAGGAUUAGAAACCCCAGUAGUCC